rnacentral:pre_miRNA from 1 species
AGUGGAAUUGAUAGAUUAUAUGGUAACUCUAUGUUUAACCUUUUGAGAAACUUACAGAUUAUUUUCCAAAGUGGUUGUACCAUUUUACAUUCUCACCAACAAU